CGGGGUGCAGCAGGCGCGAAAACUUUACAAUGCUGGCAACAGCGAUAAGGGGACCUCGAGUGCCAGGAUACAAUCUUGGCUGUCGUGAUGCCUAAAAAGCAUUGCAUAGCAAGGGCCGGGCAAGACCGGUGCCAGCCGCCGCGGUAACACCGGCGGCUCGAGUGGUAACCGCUAUUAUUGGGUCUAAAGGGUCUGUAGCCGGCCGGAUAAGUCUCUUGGGAAAUCCAGCAGCUCAACUGUUGGGCUUUCAGGAGAUACUGUUCGGCUCGAGACCGGGAGAGGUGAGAGGUACUUCAGGGGUAGGGGUGAAAUCUUGUAAUCCUUGAAGGACCACCAGUGGCGAAGGCGUCUCACCAGAACGGAUCUGACGGCAAGGGACGAAAGCUAGGGGCACGAACCGGAUUAGAUACCCGGGUAGUCCUAGCCGUAAACGAUACUCGCUAGGUGUCGGCCACGGUGCGACCGUGGUCGGUGCCGUAGGGAAGCCGUGAAGCGAGCCACCUGGGAAGUACGGCCGCAAGGCUGAAACUUAAAGGAAUUGGCGGGGGAGCAC
rnacentral:rRNA from 1 species